rnacentral:rRNA from 1 species
UUGACCUCGAUCUCUAAGUACCAGCCG